rnacentral:lncRNA from 1 species
ACACCUCAAGUUAUUCAAUUCAAGCUUUCACAAUGGCCUGCAAGAUAGCACUAGUAGUCGUGUCUCUAUCGGUGUUAGCAUUCUUCCUAUGCCUUGGUAAGUAAAUGGUCCAUGGUUUCACGGUUUUAUGAAAAGUUAUACUCUCUCUCUCUCUCUCUCUCUCUCUCUCUCUCUCUCUCUCUCUCUCUCUCUCUCUCUCUAAUGGGCCCGUUUUGAAAUUUACAUUAGGUACUGCCGAAGCUGACCCGCAGUGCAUGUUCAAGAUCAACCCUUACUAUCAUGGUGGGUGCAAGAUAGAUUCUGAUUCUGAUAACGAGAAAUGUCGAAUUGCUUGUACCAGAUUUGAGGGACCAACGUACAGAUAUGGUGUAUGCUCUAAUGAACUAUGCUUCUGCUCUAACUGUCAAUGAUCAUCGGACACUUCUAUCGGUGGGGGUGCCAUGAAGAUACAUCACCGCCAUGGAAAGAUUAGAGCUCCUAGGAAGAUUGCUUUUUUUAUUGUUGUAUGAGAAUAAAUUGGCGAUGUAUCUAAAUAUACUUUAGCAAGUAUACGUUUCCGAAGAGUUUUGAUGAAGAGUUUCCAAUCGAUUUAAAUUUUUUCGCCUAA